CACGUAGGGGGCAAGCGUUGUCCGGAUUUAUUGGGCGUAAAGAGCUCGUAGGCGGUUCGAUAAGUCGGGUGUGAAAACUCUGGGCUCAACUCAGAGACGCCACCCGAUACUGUCGUGACUUGAGUCUGGUAGGGGAGUGUGGAAUUCCCGGUGUAGCGGUGAAAUGCGCAGAUAUCGGGAGGAACACCAGUGGCGAAGGCGGCGCUCUGGGCCAGUACUGACGCUGAGGAGCGAAAGCGUGGGGAGCGAACAGG
rnacentral:rRNA from 1 species